GCCGCUUCACAUAUCUCUCCUCUCUGCCGCUUACCCUGAUCUUUCAACUCUCCUCUCUCUGCCGUUUCAACUCAAUUCUCCUCUCUCUGCCGUUUCAACUCUCCUCUCUCUGCUGAUUCACAUAUCAUUUGCCUGAUGGUUAUCAAAUCAGAAAAAAAACCCAUUAAUCACACUCUGAUUCUUCGACUUUCCUCUAUCUGCGGCUUCACAGAUCCUUUGCCUGAUUGUUAUCAAAUCAGCUAAAAAACCAUUAAUCACACUCUGAUCCUUCGAUUCUCCUCUCUCUACAGUCAGAUUGUCGCACGCACGAGGAUAGUUACAUCAUUCUCCAACCAUUAGGGUUUGCCUUCAUCUACACUAUCAUCCUUCGACUCUCCGCAGCCAGAUUGUCGCGCACAUGAGGUUUUGUUCAGUCACUGAGAUGGUCUCUGAUCAAUCUUGACAUUCGGAGAAAUAUUUUCAUAUUUUGGAAGAUUUUCCAGCUUCUGAAGAUGGAGUAAAAAUGAAGAUAAGUAAGGGAGAGACGAGAAUCUUAGAGGGACAUGGUAAGGUUUUUCUUUCAUACAUUGUAACCUUCUGAACUCUCCAAUCGGGUGUUUGCAGUCAAUUUCAAGCCCACGUUCGAGGUCUUAAUACUUAUCAUCGCCACAAUUGAAUGAUUACGGAAUCUCAGUUGACUUAAAGAGAAGGGACUGACUGGAUUGCUUUCAAAAAGAGUUAAAUGCUUCUCUAGGAAUUUACAUUGUAUUGUGCUCUCUUUGCUCUUGCUGUCCAGAUAAUGUUGUGGAUGAAGAUGGAUCCAAAGAUGGUCAUGGUGAAGGCAAUUCUAAGAUAGAGUCAGACUAGAAGGUAUCGCCUUUAUCAACACUUGAAUCGUCAUUUGAGUCCCUCAAUGUGAAGAAAUUUGAUAGUAUUGAUCUUUCUUUCGCCAAAGGAUGGUGAAUUCCAUAGGCAUAUCGGAGGAGAUUUCUCCCUCACUCAAGCACAUAGUGAAUCUAUUUGAUGAAAGUAGUCAAAGGUCACCCAUUAUGUUUACUUCAGUUGAUAGUGUAAAUGAAGAAUUUCAUGAAACUUACAACACUAAUGAUAAUGCUGAGUUGGAUGAUACUGGAAUUGAAGAUUUUGCAACAUGGGGUUUCGAGAAUGAAGAUCCGAAUGGGGAAGACCCUAUUUGCGGAGGUGAUUAUGAGGAGAAUGAACCAUCUAUUUUUCAACCCCCUAAUGUGGAAGAUAGAAUAGAGAAUGUUGACUAAUAUUUGUUUAUGAGUUUGGGGCUUAAUUUAAAACACAUAGUCCGGAUGGGUCCUGAUCAUUGGAAGUAUCAGAAGGUUUAACUGAAGCAUCCAAUGAAGAUGUUCAUAGUGAUGCAGAGGACACUAACACACUUGUUCCUUAGCCUCAUCAGGUUAUCCCGUAUGUUCUGCCACUGGUUAUACCUCGAGCAUGACUAUUGAUGUUGUUGGUAAGAUUUCUUUUUAUUAUUUGGUGAAAAAAAUGUCAUUCGUCUAUGUUUGUCAGCUCAAUUGUUCACUCACAAUAUCUAUGUUAUGUGAUCUCGAUGGACUUCAGGUGAGCCUUUAGUCGUAUUCAUCUUUUUUUAAAACUUGAUCAAGAACCAUAUAAAAACAUUAAAUUAUUGUUAUCUUUUAUUGAGCCUAUGUUGUUAUCUUUUGUCGGGUUCAGAAGAUAGCAAAGAUGAUAAAGACAACGAUGAUGGAAGUGAAGAAGAUCCAGUGUAAUAUUGUCUACCAGCCAGUUCUAUUGGAUCUC